UUGAAUCAUACAGUUUAUUUUGAGUUCAACACUAUAGACAUUUUAUUAUUUUUAAAUCAAUGGAUUUAAAAAGAAAAACAAACAACAAAAGGGCUUUAACAGUUUGAAGUUUCAUGACAGCAAACAAAUGGUCUAGGUAUAGAGUAUCAGCAAAUAGCCAGGCCAAGAGGGACAUGUCCCAAAACUGAAAUUUUGGUUUAGCUGAGUACUCUACUAUUUAGCAACCACAUCCAUUUCAUUUAUUAGAUAACUGAUUCAUUCCAUGAACUUAAUCACAUGUAACACAAGGCGUGAAUGGGGGGGG